UGCCCCAUGGCUGAGUUGGUUACAGCGUCCGACUGUUAUGAAUGAAGCAUCCGGUACAUCUAACAUCGGAAGGUCGUGAGUUCGAGCCUCACUGGGGCAG